rnacentral:rRNA from 1 species
UUGGUUAAGUUAGAAAGGGCGCACGGUGGAUGCCUUGGCACUAGGAGCCGAAGAAGGACGGGACUAACACCGAUAUGCUUUGGGGAGCUGUACGUAAGCGUUGAUCCAGAGAUUUCCGAAUGGGGGAACCCACUAUCUUUAGUCGGAUAGUAUCCUUACGUGAAUACAUAGCGUAAGGAAGGCAGACCCAGGGAACUGAAACAUCUAAGUACCUGGAGGAAGAGAAAGAAAAAUCGAUUUCCUGAGUAGCGGCGAGCGAAACGGAAAGAGCCCAAACCAAGAAGCUUGCUUCUUGGGGUUGUAGGACACUCUAUACGGAGUUACAAAAGAAAGUUAUAAAUGAAGCGGUCUGGAAAGGCCCGCCAAAGACGGUAACAGCCCGGUAGUUGAAAUGGCUUUCCCUCCAGAGUGGAUCCUGAGUACGGCGGAACACGUGAAAUUCCGUCGGAAUCCGGGAGGACCAUCUCCCAAGGCUAAAUACUCCCUAGUGACCGAUAGUGAACCAGUACCGUGAGGGAAAGGUGAAAAGCACCCCGGAAGGGGAGUGAAACAGUUCCUGAAACCGUGUGCCUACAAGUAGUUAGAGCCCGUUAAUGGGUGAUAGCGUGCCUUUUGUAGAAUGAACCGGCGAGUUACGAUUUGUUGCAAGGUUAAGCGGAAAAAGCGGAGCCGUAGCGAAAGCGAGUCUGAAUAGGGCGCAUAAGUAACAGGUCGUAGACCCGAAACCAGGUGAUCUACCCAUGUCCAGGAUGAAGGUAAGGUAAUACUUACUGGAGGUCCGAACCCACGCACGUUGAAAAGUGCGGGGAUGAGGUGUGGGUAGCGGAGAAAUUCCAAUCGAACUUGGAGAUAGCUGGUUCUCUCCGAAAUAGCUUUAGGGCUAGCCUCGAGGUAAAGAGUCAUGGAGGUAGAGCACUGUUUGGACUAGGGGCCCUUCUCGGGUUACCGAAUUCAGAUAAACUCCGAAUGCCAUGUACUUAUACUCGGGAGUCAGACUGCGAGUGAUAAGAUCCGUAGUCGAAAGGGAAACAGCCCAGACCACCAGUUAAGGUCCCCAAAUAUAUG